ACCCGAUUGGCGCAAUUGGCUAGCGCGCAAGACUUUUAAUCUUGAGGUUACGGGUUCGACCCCCGUAUCGGGUA
rfam:Sporothrix schenckii ATCC 58251 unplaced genomic scaffold supercont1.1, whole genome shotgun sequence.